rnacentral:rRNA from 1 species
CCGGGCCUCCCCGGUGGGUGGCCUGCGGACGCAGCCCCAGGCGGUGGUAAGCUCCCCGGAAGGCCAAGCCCCGGCGGGAGGCCGCGGGCACCCAGUGCCCUAAGGGAAGGUUGACGAGAGCUUUGAAGAGACUUCCGGGGCGAGAAACCCCUAAGAGGUAAAAGGGUGGCGGCCUGGCCCUGCGGGUGGCCCCGCGCCUCCCCCCCCGCCCCGUUCCUCCCCACCCUCCCUCCUCCCGGGUGCAGGGGUGCGGGCGGUGGGGGAUGCGCCCCCCCGCGUGUUACAGGCCCCGGCCGCAGCCCCUGCUGAAGCCUCCUCUCCCCCUGCCGGGGCCGCUGGGGUGGGGGGCCCUGUCCCCGCGCCCCGGCCCCGCGACGACGGCGACGGUCCCCGGGGCACCCGGCGGGUCGCGCCUUCAGGCUGGGGGUUUCCAGGCGCGCGGGGACCCCAGCGAGGCGAGCGCCCUCCCGGCAGGCGCCACGAGGCGGGGCUCCCAGGAAAGCUCUGGGGUGAUGGAGGUGAAGGCGGGGCUGCUCAGGCUGAGGGGCCUCGAGGCCUCCAGUCCCCCGAGGGCGCACCGCCCGCCCCUCGGCACCCGGGGAGGUGGAGCAUGGGCGCACGUGUUAGGACCCAGAAGGCGGUGAGCUCUGCCUGGGCAGGCGGCGGAGGGAACAGGUGGAGGUCCUUAAGGUCCUGACGUGCACACUGGUCAUGGGGCCUGGGGAUGGGGAGGGAACACUGAUGGGACCAUCUAGUAGCUGGUUCCUUCCGGUUACCCUCAGGAAGCUGGCGCUCGCGCCCGAACCCACGCAGUUUUAGCCCGUAAAGGAAUGAUUAGAGGCCUUGGGGCUCAAAGGCUCUCAUCCUAUUCUCUACUUUAAAUGGGUAAGAAGCCCGGCUGGCUGGCGUGGACCGGGCGUGGACUGCGGGUGCCUCGUGGGCCACGUUUGGUUAGCGAACUGGCGCUGCGGGAUGAACCCAGGCCGUCAGACCCGAGAGGAGGGGUUGGUUCAUCCAGACGGCAGGACGGUGGCCGGGGAAGUCGGAAUCCGCUAAGGAGCGUGUAACAGCUCACCUGCCCAAUCCCUAGCCCUGAAAACGGAUGGCGCUGCAGCAUCAGGCCCAGACCCUGGGGUCGCUGGCAGUCGGUGACCCACGGGAGAGGGACAGAGCGGCCGCCUGGGUCCCCCCACUGCGGGAGCCAGGAAGCCUGGAUGCCGCUGGGGAAGCCGCCGCAGGUGCAGAUCCUGGUGGUAGUAGCAGAUGUGCAAAGGAGAACUCUGAAGGCCAAGGUGGAGGAGGGCGCCGUGUGCACAGCAGUCGAGCCGGGUCAGUCGCUGCCAGAGAGAUGGGCGAGCUCCGGUCCCAAGGGACAGGUGAUGGCCUGCGUUGCCCUGAGCAGAUGGAAAGGGAGUCAGGUUCAGAUCCCCGAAUCCGGAGUGGCGGAGAUGGGUCCUUGUGACACAACCCAUCCUGGAGAAGCCCAGGGAGCCCCGGGGAGGCUUCUCUUUUCUUUGUGAAGGGCAGGGCGCCCUGGAAUGGGUUCCCCGGAGAGAGGGGCUGUGCCUUGGGAAGUGUCGCGGUUCUGGGGCGUCUGGUGAGCUCUUGCUGGCCCUUAAAAUCGGGGGGAGCGGGUAUAAACCUCGGGCUGGGCUGUACCCAUAUCCGCAGCAGCUCUCCAAGGUGAACAGCCGCUGGCAGGUAGGCACAACGUAGGGAAGGGAGGUCGAGAGCUGGAUCCGUAACUUCGGGAUAAGGAUUGGCUGUAAGAGCUGAGUGGGUCAGGCUGGGGCACCUCCUCCCACCCAGGCCUCUCCCUCCCCAUUCCCCUCCCGCCCAGGGCGGCCAGGGAGAUCCCUGCAGGGGGCCAACUAGGACUGUGCACAGGAGCUGGCCCUAACCAUGGGUAGCCCCAGCUUCAUCCCCUGUCUUCACCCGCCCUCGACCCCCUGCCCACCGUGGUGGCCGCCCCACUGGUCCCCCCACCCGUCCGCCCCUGGGCCCAGGUUCUGUGGCGCCUCCCUUCCAUGGGCGCCUAGCAGCAGACUUAGAACUGGAGGGGACCUGGGGGAUCGGACUAAUGAAAGCAUCGCGAAGGCCCGCGCGGUGUUGACGGAUGUGAUUUCUGCCCUGUGCUCUGAAUGUCAAAGUGGAGAAAUUCAGUGAAGCGCGGGUAAAGGGCAGGAGUAACUAGGACUCUCAAGGCAGCCGACCACCUCUCAUCUGAUUAGUGACCCGCAGGAAUGGGUGAGCGCGGUUCCCACUGUCCCUACCUACAAUCAGCGAAACCACAGCCAAGGGGGGCUUGGCGGCAUCAGCGGGGAAAGAAGACCCUGCUGAGCGUGACUCUAGGCUGGCAGGUGAAGAGACGGAGAGGUGUAGAGUAAGUGGGGGGCCCGCGAGGGGGCGGGAAGGGGUCCUCCAGCCUGUGGCCCUGGUGAAAUACCACGACUCUUAUGGUUUUUUCACUGACCUGGGUGGGGGGCAAGCCCGGAGGGGCUCUUGCUUCUGUUGCCAAGCCCAGACCCGCUCCCAGGACAGUGCCAGGUGGGGAGUUUGGCCGGUACACCUGUCAAACGAUAACGCAGGUGUCCUAAGGCCAGAAACCUCCCGUGGAGCAGAAGGGCAAAGCUCACUUGAUCUUGAGUUUCAGUACGAAUACAGACCGUGAAAGCGGGUCUCACGAUCCUUCUGACCUUUGGGGUUUUGAGCAGGAGGUGUCAGAAAAGUUCCUACAGGGGUAACUGGCAAGCGUUCAUAGCGACGUUGCUUUUUGAUCCUUGAAUGUUGGCUCUUCCUGUCAUUGUGAAGCAGAAUUCACCAAGCGUUGGGUUGUCCACCCACUAAUAGGGAAGGUGAGCUGGGUUUAGGCCGUGGUGAGACAGGUUAGUUUUACCUACUGAUGAUGCCAUGGUGAUCCUGCUCGGUAGGCACCAGGGGAAACGCAGGUUCAGAGGUUUGGUGUGUGUGCUUGACUGAGGAGCCAAUGGGGGAAGCAUCCAUCUGUGGGAUUAGGACUGAGCCUCUAAGUCAGAAUCCUGCCCAGGCGGAAGGAUAGGGCAGCCGGUGGGGCCUGGUUGGCCUGGGACAGCCAACGAGGUCGCUGUGGAGCCCCAGCAGGUGCCCCAACAGCAUCCCCUGCAGAGAGCCCCUCCUCCUGGGACAUGGGCUCUCGC